GACGAACGCUGGCGGCGUGCUUAACACAUGCAAGUCGAACGGAAAGGCCUCUUUCGGGGUAUACUCGUGUGGAGCACGGGAGAAUCACACGUGAGACCCGUGCCCUACACUUUGGGAUAACUACGGAAAACUUGGGAUAAUACCGGAUAGGCGCCCCUGCUGCGGGGGGGGGGGUGGAGAGUCGGCGGUUGUGGAUGGACUCGCGGCCUAUCACCUUGUUGGUGGGGGAGUGGGCUACCAAGGCGGCGACGGGUAGCCGGCCUGAGAGGGUGACCGGCCACAUUGGGACUGAGAUACGGCCCAGACUCCUACGGGAGGCAGCAGUGGGGAAUAUUGCACAAUGGGUGGAAGCCUGAUGCAGCAACGCCGCGUGCGGGAUGACGGCCUUCGGGUUGUAAACCGCUUUCGGUCAUGACGAAGCUUUGUGUGACGGUAGUGGGUAAAGAAGCACCGGCUAACUACGUG
rnacentral:rRNA from 1 species